AGAAUAGGACUGGGACGCUUGCCUCUCCUGUCCCCUCUGCUCCUCCCUAAUCCGCUUUGGUUUUUUCCAUUCCCUGCUAGAGAUGUGCUGCUGUAUCCAUUGCUACUUGGGAGCAGCUAAGAAGCCUGUGACCAGCCUGCUGAGCUCUGCAUUGGCAGACCCUCCUGCCGAGUGGGUUGCAUCUCUCCUCUGACUCCUCUCCAGAGCGCAGGGCCCUUCUGCUGCUCCAAAGGGCUUGUUGUGGUCAACACCAGUGGGAAACAGGUAGAUGAUCUAAAUGCAGACCCAAAGAGACAGAAGGUUCUGAUUAAACAUCAGCAAAAGCAUUUUUUUAUCUUAAUAUCUAUACAUCCGAGGUAUUGUGUUUCAUCUUACUCAAAUUUCCUGUCAGCACAAAAAGAGGAAUGAGUGUACUCCCCUGGAAGUCUGGAACUGUAGCUUGGUUUUCUUCAGUUUUCAAGUAGGAUAAGUAACCUGCAGGAAAUCAUGCAUUUUGCUCAUUUGGUUCAUGUUUCAUUCUUAUUAUCAGAUCGUUUUGAAAUGGGAAUGCAUAUAUUUUCUCAUAGCGUGUACCUCUUCAGCCUGACCGUAUGCAACUAACCGAAGAGCUAUGCAAAUAUGCACAAGUUUGAGUAUAUUGACAGGUACAGGGCUGCUUGGCAUUUUUUUUUUUUUUGUAGGGCUAGUUACAAAACUACCCAUCUACAGUGCUGAAGCAGAUCAAGCUACUGACUCAAUAGAGAGAUCAAACUCCCUACAGAGGAGCUUGUCCCUACAGCCGUGAGCAGCCUACAAGACCAAACUGCCACAGCCAUUCUUUCAGCCAAACCUCUACUGACCUCACACAUUUAUUUUAUUCGAGCAUCUGCCAGCAAGUGACACUCAGGAUGGCCCAAACCACCUUCCUUGGCUGCUGCUUGCUUGCUCUGGCUGCCCAUUCCCUUCUCUUCACAUGUUCCCUGAAGGUCAUUUCCCCUACGGGUUUGGCCAUUCCCUUUCCCAACUCUCUGAGGCUUUUCCUCACUGAAAUUCCUGGUAAACCAAUCUCAUUUCACUACUCAGGAAGGUCUCAGUUGUGAACCCAACUGCAAGAGGUAAUAAUAGCAUAUUAGGUGAUCUCAUGAUAUUUUCUUGUUUGAAUUGUGUAAUUAAACCUGGCCUCUUUUAUUAACC
rnacentral:lncRNA from 7 species